AGAUCAUUUCAAGAAUGUGUGGUCCUUCCAAAGGGAAGGUUUUUACUACUCAAUUUUUUUUCAGAAAGUUUACUUCUUUUAAUUCAUCUUUUCAGACAGGUGCUUUUUCCAAAGCUUCCACUUGAAACUGCUUAUAACAGUCCAAACAUUAGCAUGAAGUUUCUACUUCUGUUUACUGUCUCCUAAAUGUGGAGAGACUAUCUGGUGCAAAUUGUUACUUUAGUAAAAUUUUGAAAUGAAAGGACCGUAUAGUGCUACCUUCUGCAACUUGGACUUGCAAUGCCUGGCAAUCUUCUGGAGGAUGUUAGACUUACAUAGGCUCACAUAGCUAGUAAGAAAUAGGGGAAAGCCCAAGAUCUUUUUCUCAUUCCGAUCUAACAGGACACAAAGGCUGACUGAUGGAAUGCCAAAGCAACUACAGCACCCUCAAUAUCGGGUUCCCUGUGAGUGACCUGGAGCCUCAAUCAUGUGACCUUAACUCAUUACAACUCUGAAAGGUCUAUGCAUUUAGCUUUGAGAUUCAGUUUCAUAAUGGACCGUAAAAUCCCAGUAAGGCAGAUGCAGGGCAGUUUUAUUUUGUAUGAUAAUUUCCUAUUUUUGAUACUUGUAUUCAAAGAGUUGUCAUAUAUCUUUGGAAUUCUGUACAAAAGUUAAUGGAAAACUAACAAACCCCUUUUUCCAUGUAGGAAACUAAGAUGCAGCUGGAAUUAUGGUAGAACAAAAUGGUUUGAUGAUGGUUUAUGUAGUCGUCCUUCCACACAAUAAUCAAGACCAUUCCUGACAAGAGCAUAGACGAUAUGAAUAGUUUAAAAGGACCGCUCUGUUCUCUCACGUUCCAAACAGUUCCUGGAAAUGCUCAGAGGUAUUCAUCUAUCUCCUGCACAAGAGAUAUUUGUACUUUACUAAAGGAAACAUUAUACUAAAUAGUCAUACAAAGAACAAAUAAAAAUCAAUGGGUAUAUUCUACAAUACAAAUUCUAUGAAUGUUGGCAUCAAGAAAACUAUUUUAAAGGGCAUUACUCUCUUGGUUCGAUUUUGUCUAUUUUUAAGAUAAGUAUUUGAGCCAGUAAGAGAUGAACCAGGCUUUUAAGUUUAUUAAGUGAAAACUCUAGAACAAAAUGAUGGGAUGCUCAGAUUAUUUUAGGAAAUCAGUUGGAGACAGAAAAAAUG
rnacentral:lncRNA from 1 species